AACUCAUCACUACAGAAAACAUAUAUACAAAUUGGAAAGUGUCUUUUAAAAGAGAAAUUUACAUUAUAUAUAAGUACCUUUUUUAGUCCAUGCCAGCAUCUGUUUUUAAAAGCCUUCCUUGAAAGUUGUUUAAAUUUGCUCUUGGAGGAAGCUCACUCAGCUGUAACAUUAAGGUUCCCAAGUUUCCAUUACUCCACCUCAGAAGCAGAUCAAGUAAAGGGACAUGAUGUGAUCCACUGACAGACGCUAGCAGAGGUUCGCAAAGACCCUCGGUCUUCAGAGAUCAGAAUGUGACAGGGAGUGAGAGUUGAUAAAUGAAAAAAAGGAGAACAAAAGUGCAAAAACUACUUGAGUGAGCGUCUCCUCCUUGGAGUCCUUUUGACAUGUCGACAGCUGAUACUCAGACAGUAAUGGGGGUUUGACAUUGGGAUGAUAGGGACCCGAUCUAGCACGACUGAGGUGAAAGGCUGUCCCAUACGCCUACCAGACAGCAGUUGCCUCUACCUGGAUCAUGCAGAUUGUCCCUGUGACAAACUUACUGUCAGGAACUAGGUUGGACAUGAAACACACCAGACACCAAUAUGAAUUUGGGGAUUCAGUAAUGUGCACUGUACAAAAAGGGUAAAGCUUUUUAGUUUUGAAUCAUACAGUUGCAGAAGCACAUAUGAUAAACCUACCAAUGUUGUAGCUUUGUUCUCUGACAGAUAUCUAUCUGGAUUUGAUUAGCGCUGCAGCAAUUAGUUGGCAAAUCAAACCGUCAAAUGCCUGAAAAUGAACCGGUAACAAUUUUGAAUAUUAAAUAAUCAUGUUGAGUAGGGCUGGGCGAUAUGGCAAAAAUGUAAUCUCGAUAAUUUUUUUCCCAUAUUGAUCGAUAACGAUAUAUUUUUCGAUAUAUAAACUGUUAAUGCUGCCAGCUUUCAAAGAGUAUCUCAAAUAUGAAGCCACAAAAAUUUGAGGGUAUGAUGUUGAGUCUCUGGAUAACGACACCACACCGGUGUUUUUCCUCCAUUUCCAGAGCUCCAAAAGCCGCCUGGCAGCAAGCCCCAUCCCCUGACGAGUGAGAGGAGCACAGCAUAGUGAGAUGACUUCGUAAAGGAUGAAGACGUGAAGCUGCGCCCACUGAAGACAUCUUCAGAGGCUCCAACAGAGAUGGCUGCUGUCUUGGAAGACUGACUGAGGAAGUUGCCGCUGUCCAGUUUCAUACUCCAGAUGGACACAUGACAUCACACA